rnacentral:rRNA from 1 species
UACGUAGGGUGCAAGCGUUGUCCGGAAUUAUUGGGCGUAAAGAGCUUGUAGGCGGUUUGUCGCGUCUGCUGUGAAAAUCCGGGGCUCAACCCCGGACUUGCAGUGGGUACGGGCAGACUAGAGUGUGGUAGGGGAGACUGGAAUUCCUGGUGUAGCGGUGAAAUGCGCAGAUAUCAGGAGGAACACCGAUGGCGAAGGCAGGUCUCUGGGCCACUACUGACGCUGAGAAGCGAAAGCGUGGGGAGCGAACAGG